rnacentral:rRNA from 1 species
UACGAAGGUCCCAAGCGUUGUUCGGAAUCACUGGGCGUAAAGGGAGCGUAGGCGGCCAACUAAGUCGGAUGUGAAAUCCCCAGGCUUAACCUGGGAACUGCAUCCGAUACUGGAUGGCUUGAAUCCGGGAGAGGGAUGCAGAAUUCCAGGUGUAGCGGUGAAAUGCGUAGAUAUCUGGAGGAAUACCGGUGGCGAAGGCGGCAUCCUGGACCGGCAUUGACGCUGAGUGAGCGAAAGCCAGGGGAGCAAACGGG